rnacentral:lncRNA from 1 species
CUACCACUGAAAGGAUGUGCGGGUAGAAAUGAGCAAUUGCAACUAGAAGAGCCUGUGUGCCCACAAUCAAGGGUAAGGAGGAGUGUCAUGGAGCAGGUGCAGCAGCUCACACCUGUAAUCCCAGCUCUUUGGGAGGCCAGGCAGUGGGACCACUUGAUGCCAGGAGUUCAAGAGCAGCCUGGCCAACAUGGUGAAAACCCAUCUCUACUAAAAAUAAAAAAAUUAGCCAGACAUGGUGGCAUGCACCUGUAGUCCCAGCUACUCGGGAGGCUGAGGAAGGAGAAUUGCUUGAACCUGGGAGGUGGAGGUUGCAGUGAGCCAAGAUCAUGCCACUGCACUCCAGCCUGGACAAUAGAGCGAGACUCUAUCUCAAAAAAAAAAAAAAAGUAAAAAAAAAAGAACAUUUCUUCUCUCCUGGACCCAGAAGCACCUUCCAGACAUGAAUCCAGGAAGUAGGAAUGAGAGCUGCCACUGCAGGGUAGAAAAUGCAAGUAAACCUUAUACGAGAUGUAACACCCAGGCAGGGUGAGCCUCAGGAAAUGGGAACGCUCCAAUGGCACGGCUCAUCUGGACUGGGCCACUCUGAGUGCCAGAAUUUGUAUAACGUUUUAGAUUUGCUUAGAUAUAGGAAUAUACAAGAAGGAGAAUAUAUAAGAGGAUUUAGCAGUGGUUAUUUCUGAGAAACAGGGAGUACAUGUAGUUUUGGGUUUUUUUCUUAGCUGGAUUUUUUUAAGUUUCUAAAAUGAACAUGAUUUACUUUUGGAAUUUUUUAAAAAGCAUUGAAUAUUUAAAAUUUUUAAAAUAAUAGGCACUCAUUAAGCAAAAAAAUUAUAAAACAGUGAAGUUACAAAGGAAGAAGAAAACUGUUCAAAUCUACUAUUUAUGUUUGGGGUUUUUAAAAAUUGUAUUUUUUAAAAAAAUAAACUGGUUUGUCUUAUUUAGCAUAGCUAUAAUGAUACUGUAUAUAAAAUAUUUUUGCUUGCAUUCUUCAACUUAUUUCAUUAUAAGUACUUUCCAUGUUAUUACUUAGUCUUUACAGCACUAUUUUAACUUGCAAAUAACAUUCUGUUGAAAUAUCA